AUGAACGCUGGCGGCGUGCCUAAUACAUGCAAGUCGAGCGAACAGACGAGGAGCUUGCUCCUCUGACGUUAGCGGCGGACGGGUGAGUAACACGUGGAUAACCUACCUAUAAGACUGGGAUAACUUCGGGAAACCGGAGCGAAUACCGGAUAAUAUAUUGAACCGCAUGGUUCAAUAGUGAAAGACGGUUUUGCUGUCACUUAUAGAUGGAUCCGCGCCGCAUUAGCUAGUUGGUAAGGUAACGGCUUACCAAGGCAACGAUGCGUAGCCGACCUGAGAGGGUGAUCGGCCACACUGGAACUGAGACACGGUCCAGACUCCUACGGGAGGCAGCAGUAGGGAAUCUUCCGCAAUGGGCGAAAGCCUGACGGAGCAACGCCGCGUGAGUGAUGAAGGUCUUCGGAUCGUAAAACUCUGUUAUUAGGGAAGAACAAAUGUGUAAGUAACUAUGCACGUCUUGACGGUACCUAAUCAGAAAGCCACGGCUAACUACGUG
rnacentral:rRNA from 1 species